GACGAACGCUGGCGGCGUGCUUAACACAUGCAAGUCGAACGGAGGAUUUAUUUCGGUAAAUCCUUAGUGGCGAACGGGUGUGUAACGCGUGGGCAAUCUGCCCUUCAGAUGGGGACAACAUCCCGAAAGGGGUGCUAAUACCGAAUACGAUCACGCUGCCGCAUGGCGGUGUGAUGAAAGAUGGCCUCUAUUUAUAAGCUAUCGCUGAAGGAUGAGCCUGCGUCUGAUUAGCUAGUUGGUGGGGUAACGGCCUACCAAGGCGAUGAUCAGUAGCCGGGCUGAGAGGAUGAACGGCCACAUUGGGACUGAGACACGGCCCAAACUCCUACGGGAGGCAGCAGUGGGGAAUAUUCCGCAAUGGACGAAAGUCUGACGGAGCAACGCCGCGUGAGUGAUGAAGGUUUUCGGACUGUAAAGCUCUGUUGUUUAGGACGAAAGUGCCUGUUGCAAAUAGUUACAGGUAUUGACGGUACUGAACGAGGAAGCCACGGCUAACUACGUGCCAGCCGCCGCAGUAA
rnacentral:rRNA from 1 species